GAUGAAGAACGUAGCGAAAAGCGAUAAGUAAUGCGAAUUGCAGAAUUUCCGUGAGUCAUCGAAUCUUUGAACGCACAUUGCGCCCAUUGGCAUUCCGAUGGGCAUGCCUGUUCGAGCGUCAUUAUCCUCCCUCAAACUCGGGUUUGGUGUUGGACCCAAGUUGUGCGAUGAACAACUGGUCUUAAAGACAAUGACGGCGUCCGUGGGACCCUCGAUGCAACGAGCUUUAAGGAGCACGCGUCGAGUAUUAAAAGGACCCUCCGGGCCGAUCUACCUCUCUUUCUCAGGUUGACCUCGGAUCAGGUAGGAAUACCCGCUGAACUUAAGCAUAUCAAUAAGCGGAGGA
rnacentral:misc_RNA from 1 species